UACACUGGGGCAUACCCCACUCAUCGAUGACAGUUUCUUUCGGGAUGAUGUUUUGCAUUGAGGCAUAGUCGGUUUGCUUCUUUCACAUUGGAUUAUGAUGGAUCAGGAGUUGUUGGAUGACCCUACACUAGGGCAUAGCCAUUUCAGAGAGCGCUUUUAUUGGAGAUACAGUCACUCUACUCGAUGCUCUGCAUUGGGACACGUUCCACUCAUUGAUAGUUGAUUUUUGAGAUGACGAUUUAUUUUGAGGCGUGACCUUCUCAUUGGUGAUGGACUUUGAUUUUUCAUUGGAGCAUAGUCACUUCAGAUGGUUUAUACUGGGGCAUAGCCAAUUCAUUCGUACUCAUAGAGCUCGGGGAUUCUGAUUCAUAUGGAUUAUGUUGAGAGGUUUCCAUUUUUAGCACCAGGAGUAGAGAUUGAUUGAUUUGUUGACUCG
rnacentral:lncRNA from 1 species